GUUCGUUUAGAUUUCGAUUCUAAAGAAGAAAUAUCCAGUAAUUUAAACUUUUGGAUUCGGCAACCCUCUAGAUGGACACCUUAUUUCGAGAGUGAUGCUUGUGACCGUCCUGACAGUACGAUGUGCUCUUACGCGUAGAUAACACAAGUUAGGUGUUCUUUCCGAGAUAAUAGGCUAUAUCUAAGAGGUACGAGCGAUACGACACCGAUGCCGUCGUCGUCGUCGUCGUCGUCGGAAGGAUGAAAGAUGAGUUGGACGCGGUGACCCAGAAAUAGAUCUCUAUCGAAUCGGAGAUUCCAAUUCCGACGUGAUCCAUCCGCGUUGCCGCGCCGUCGAACGGUCUCGAAAAAUUCUUUGUGAAAACGGGAGAACAUUCCGGAAAUCGAUUACGCAGCUCUGUAUGUGUGUGUGUGUCUGAGAGAGAGAGAGAGAGAGAGAGAGA